GGGACCACAAUCUGUAAGUCGCUCUGGAUAAGAGCGUCUGCUAAAUGGACCACA
rfam:Salmo salar isolate Sally breed double haploid chromosome ssa20, whole genome shotgun sequence.